rnacentral:rRNA from 1 species
GGAUAGGGUAAGCGCGGUAUUGGAUAUCCGCGUCCAAGCAGUUAGGCUGGGAAAUAGGCAAAUCCGUUUCCCAUAAGGCUGAGCUGUGAUGGCGAGCGAAAUAUAGUAGCGAAGUUCCUGAUUCCACACUGCCAAGAAAAGCCUCUAGCGAGGUGAGAGGUGCCCGUACCGCAAACCGACACAGGUAGGCGAGGAGAGAAUCCUAAGGUGAUCGAGAGAACUCUCGUUAAGGAACUCGGCAAAAUGACCCCGUAACUUCGGGAGAAGGGGUGCUCUGUUAGGGUGUAAGCC